rnacentral:lncRNA from 1 species
AAAAUUUCAACCCAACUAAAUAUAAUAAUUCAAAUAAAAAAAAAACUUCAAAUAUCACCCAUGUGGUUCACACUUUUCACUUUAGUACCCUGUGGUUUAAAGUGUAUCAAUUAAGUGCCUCGUGGUUUCGCACUUUUUCACUUUAGUAUCCUGUAGUUUAAACUGCAUCAAUUUAGUACCCCGUGGAUAUUUUGUUAAAUUAUAUACAAAAACUUCAGAUACCUUGCCUGGGUUUAUCGAAUAUUACUUUAAUACCCUUUAGUUUUAAUUUUGUCAUUGAUUUUAUUUUCUUCCGUUAAUAUUUUCGUUAAAUUAUAUACAAAAUAAUUCAGAUACCCUAUCUAGGUUUAUCGAAUAUUCACUUUAGUACCCUUUAAUUUUAAUUUUGUCAUUUAACGAAAAAAAUUAGUGAAAUAGAUAAUAAAAAGAAAAAAAUGAAACCAUAGGGUACCAACUUGAUACACUUUAAACCACAU